UACGAAGGGGGCUAGCGUUGCUCGGAAUCACUGGGCGUAAAGCGCACGUAGGCGGAUCGUUAAGUCAGGGGUGAAAUCCUGGAGCUCAACUCCAGAACUGCCUUUGAUACUGGCGACCUUGAGUUCGGGAGAGGUGAGUGGAACUGCGAGUGUAGAGGUGAAAUUCGUAGAUAUUGGGAAGAACACCGAUGGCGAAGGCAGCCAUCUGGACCGACACUGACGCUGAGGCGCGGAAGCGUGGGGAGCAAACAGG
rnacentral:rRNA from 1 species